AACGUAGGUGGCAAGCGUUAUCCGGAAUUACUGGGCGUAAAGGGUGUGCAGGCGGGGUUGCAAGUGGGGUAUGAAAUAUCCCAGCUUAACUGGGAGGGGUUAUGCCAGACUGCAACUCUAGAGGACGAGAGAGGGGGGUGGAAUUCCGGGUGUAGUGGUGAAAUGCGUAGAGAUCCGGAGGAACCCCAGAGGCGAAGGCGGCCCCCUGGCGCGUGCCUGACGCUCAGCCACGAAAGCAUGGGGAGCGAACGGG
rnacentral:rRNA from 1 species